GAUGAAGAACGUAGCGAAAUGCGAUAAGUAAUGUGAAUUGCAGAAUUCAGUGAAUCAUCGAAUCUUUGAACGCACAUUGCGCCCUCUGGUAUUCCGGGGGGCAUGCCUGUUCGAGCGUCAUUAUAACCACUCAAGCUCUCGCUUGGUAUUGGGGCUCGCGGUUCCGCGGCCCCUAAAAUCAGUGGCGGUGCCUGUCGGCUCUCCGCGUAGUAAUACUCCUCGCGAUUGAGUCCGGUAGGUCUACUUGCCAGCAACCCCCAAUUUUUACAGGUUGACCUCGGAUCAGGUAGGGAUACCCGCUGAACUUAAGCAUAUCAAUAAGCGGAGGA
rnacentral:misc_RNA from 1 species